rnacentral:misc_RNA from 1 species
GAUUUCUAUUGCUGUAAGAAAAAAGCUUUCUUAUGACAAUUUUUAUAAGAUCUAUAUAUGUUGAGAAUUAGUUUUCUCCUCAAGGAUUGGUCCUUAAUUUCUCUUAGUUUUUUAUUCUUCUUUGUUUGUUUUACAUCACUUUUUUUGCCUCCUUCUGAGUUCCGAAUUCCCUUUCUAGCAACCUAUUCCUCCAAGAACAAUACAACAGUUAUUGCAUGAUUAAAGUUACAUUCAAAACAUAUUACAUUCAG